rnacentral:rRNA from 1 species
ACAUGCAUACAACAUAAAGUUAAUGCAUUGAAUCCCAUUAGAACUUCACAGCCGGGCUAGAGUAGUACUGGGAUAAGUGAUUUCUCGGGAAGUCCUAGUGUUUUACAUGUC